rnacentral:lncRNA from 1 species
UUAUUUUCUUUUUUUCAUCUUCUUCUUUCUAUUUUGAACCGGUGAAAAAAUAGAAAGGUAAAAAAAAGCUCCUUGAGAGAAAUGGUGUUUUCUGCAAUUAAGCAGGUACAGUGCUCCAUAGUUAAAUCUCAAUCAAAGUACACUCCGUACAAAGUAUGUCCCCUCUUAAAGAAUCCCUAGUCAUAUUUUUCUAUUCCUGUGUCCCUACAAUCUUGGAGCGAGCAAGCAUGGGGUCAGUCAUAUAUAAUUGUGGCCUUUCGAAACCCUAGGUGACGAUUCUUCUCAACCACUCAUUCAAUAUACUAUUUUGAUUGUACUGCUCAUCGUAUACUCUGCAAUUUGUUUAAUUGCUUAUUUGUGUGGAUCAAAUUUAUGGGUAGGUGGAGCUUUUAAUAGGAAAAUGAACAUUUUCUAAUCUAGGGUUACUGAAUGUCGCAAAAAUUAAAAAUAAAUAAAUCAUGGUCUGCUUUUUCUUGUGAUUUCCCCCUUAUUUCAGUUCCAAAGCAUAACUAAUGUAGAGCUUCAAUUUGAAUAAUUUGAAAAAAAAUUAGAUUAUCUUUUUUAUACUCUUUACGUCCCAUUUUAUAUGAUGAAGUAUGUCUGGGCAUGGAGUUUAAGAAAGAAAGAAUUUUGAAACUUGUGAUUUAAAAAUUUGACAAAGGAAGAGCUAACUUUGCUUUUGUUACCAUUAAAAAAAGAAGUAAUAAUGGAUGUAUUGGUAGUCUGCACGCAUUGAUUUAAGAUUAUAGAUCCGGAUUAUGAAACCUUUUUCUAUGUGGUGUCGCCAAAAAUUCAGGGGCGGAGGGAGAGUAUUGGCUAUGAGUUUGGCCGAAUCCCGUAGCUUUGGUUCAAUGUCUCAUUGAGGACGUGUGAAUAACAUUGAGGUUUAGUGCAUGGAAAACUCCAAUCCCCGUAUGUGCAACGUUGAAAUGGCUCCUCAUUUGAUUGUGCCAAAGGGAUAUAAAAGAAAGAAGUGGCUUUCGAUAGAUUGUUGGUCAAGAAGUUUUACUCUGUGCAAGUUUAAGCCUACCUUGUCACAUUUUAGCAAAUUCUAUCAUCAUAAUAGACACAUAUCAAGAAGUAUAUGUUGGAUGCGACACAAUCAUCUUAGACAAUUUUUUCUUUAUCUUUUAAGCAUCCGUGUGUGUUACCUAUACCCUCUGGCAGAUAUUUUCAUUUCUUUUACAAUUGUGCAAUUUUGUAGGUCUACAUUUUCAUCUUAACAUUAGCAUUAUAUUGGAUUUAUAUUGUGACUAUGUUGGGCCUUGGAGGUCUGACGUUUAUUUUUAGAUGAAUUCCUGGCAUCAUAACCAUUUUAUAGAACUCGUUUUUCAUUUGAUAGACUAUGGUAGAAACACACUACUACUAGAGCUAUCAUGCGACAACACUUUAUUGAGAAAAAUCACAAAUAAGUAUAUAUGCAAAUAAUUGUUUUUUUUUAGAAAUAAUGCUUGUGUGUAUAUUAUAAGCUGACACCACUUGAAAAUAAAACAAAAACAUCAAUUUGAGACAAGUAAUAUAGAACAGUCCACCCAAACCCACAUACAAGCUGAGUUCUGAUAGUAUGCCGACACCACUUGUGCAAAAUCUUGUGCAUUGGUAAUCCUAUCACAUAGUGUUCUCGUAGUAACUCCUCCAUCUCAUGAGUGAUCCUUCUUAACUUUUCUUUUUUGAAAGUAAAAAAAUUAAUAAAUUAAGAAGGAUGACUGAGAUGAAAGAGGUGCUACAACAACACUACGUAAUCAUAGAAUACCUAUAAUUCUAUGUGUCACAUUUUCUUAUAUCACUGCAAACUUUCUAAGUCAAACAAAUUAUUAAUAUAUCUUCCAAAAUAUCCAAUUGAACUUUCUAUGUCUAGGAUCUCUUUGAUUGUUGAAUACCUUUAGCUACUCUUAGUUUCCAUAUUACAUGAAGUUAUGGAAGAAACUACUGCAAUGUCUCAUUUUUAAGCUAAAACCUCUUGUGGAAAAUCAAAUGUGCUCCACAAGCAUUAGCAUAUCUUCGUUGUUUUUGACUUUGAGAAACUCUUGUCAACUUUUGGAUAGCAAGAGUCUUCUAAAUCCUAGUAUAUUUUAUCCAUGGAAAAACUUUUGUGAGCCUAGGAAAGUUUACAUUGUGGACCCUAGAGCCAAUUGUUAUAUGUGCUAGAAUUUUCUGUUAUCUUUAGUCUUAUUUUAAGAGAAGAUUUGGUAAGUUUCCUAGCAUUUUCCGUCUUUUCACUUUUACCGAAACUUGGCAUGUGGAUAAAUUUAAGUUGCAAUGAAGUAAAAUUAGAAAUGAAGAAAGAAAAGCUUAAAUUAAAAAAAACAAAAGAGAGGACAGGCUAUUUAACCUAUUAUAAUGUUAAGAUUGGACACGACAAAAAGAAAAGAGGAGCUACUUGAAGAUUCCUGUGUCUUUUGCUACAACUUUAGUGGUCGAAGUCGUCAUUUUUGGAUACAGGAAUGCACUUUAUAAUCCAACCGAUAGGCCAUGACAAUGAUGAAAUCCCUAUGCAUGCAGCCCAUUGCGUCCAGUUCAGCCUUUCAGUAUCAGCAAACUUCUUCAGGAAUUCAACCAUAAUUACCUGGAGAACUAUUGUCACUCCCACUAUCCCAACAAAUAGUCUAUUCUUCAGUAUUCCACGGAAUAUGUUUUUCUUCUCCAAAUUCCUUGCAUUGAACUCGUUAAAAACUUGACACAGAACGAAAGUAUUGAAUAUCAAGGUGUCUUUUACCUUCUUAUUCACAUGAAAUAUGGCACUUCCUUUGAACUGCAGGAUCAAUAGCACCGUUACCUGAUACAAGGCUUGAGCAAGGAGAUUCCUCCACAUCACUCCAGUUAUCAGUGGUUUAGUUCGUCCAACUGGUUUCUUGUUCAUUAGAUCGCAACUGGGUCGUUCAGUUGCCAAAGCUAAGGCCCCCAGAGUAUCC